rnacentral:rRNA from 1 species
UACAGAGGUCCCAAGCGUUGUUCGGAUUCACUGGGCGUAAAGGGUGCGUAGGUGGCCAGGUAAGUUUGGUGUGAAAGCUCGGAGCUUAACUCCGAAAAGUCAUUGAAUACUAUCUGGCUGGAGGGUCGGAGGGGAGACUGGAAUUCUCGGUGUAGCAGUGAAAUGCGUAGAUAUCGAGAGGAACACCAGUGGCGAAGGCGAGUCUCUGAACGACUCCUGACACUGAGGCACGAAAGCUAGGGGAGCAAACAGG